rnacentral:rRNA from 1 species
GCACAAGCGGCGGAGCAUGUUGCUUAAUUCGAUGCAACGCGAAGAACCUUACCUAGGCUUGACAUGCACGGAAAUCCUCCAGAGAUGGUGGGUCCGCAAGGGUCGUGCACAGGUGGUGCAUGGUUGUCGUCAGCUCGUGUCGUGAGAUGUUGGGUUAAGUCCCGCAACGAGCGCAACCCUCGUUCUAUGUUGCCAGCACGUGAUGGUGGGGACUCAUAGGAGACUGCCGGGGUCAACUCGGAGGAAGGUGGGGAUGACGUCAAAUCAUCAUGCCCCUUAUGUCUAGGGCUGCAAACAUGCUACAAUGGCCGGUACAAAGGGCUGCGAUACCGCGAGGUGGAGCGAAUCCCAAAAAGCCGGUCUCAGUUCGGAUUGGGGUCUGCAACUCGACCCCAUGAAGUUGGAGUCGCUAGUAAUCGCAGAUCAGCAACGCUGCGGUGAAUACGUUCCCGGGCCUU